AGCCAGAGGGAGUCGUGGCCUGCAGGACCUAGCUUGGUCAUUAGGAAGCCAGUGAGACCUGGAAAUAGCACAAGAGGGAAGGAGACUGCCAAGGUCAUCGAACUGCAGAUCCCAACAACCGCAUCAGAACUGUAUAGAGAAAGAGAAGAUCAAACCAAACAUCGCUUGAGAAUCUGGACCAUAAGGAACCACAACAGAAACUAAGACACGAAGAACCUCAACGCUUUUAAGGGACACUCCUCUAUAUGGCUGUCCAUUAACCCAAACUGAGAGGUCUCCUUUCUUAUAUGCUGGACACCAUCCAUUUCCUGUUCCUCAGGGUACUUGAAGGCUGAAGCAGCCCAAAUGAUGAUUUUUGCUGCCAGCUGGGGGCACUCAGCCCAGGCCUUGAGCUGGUUGUAGGUGACUGAAAUUUGAGCGCUACCAGGAGGAUCCUCCAUAAUUCCUCAUCCCAAGUGGGGAGAGAAGAAAGAGGAGAAAUUCAGAAUCUUGACGGAAGAGCCACGUUCCUGCUUCACCAUGGGGACUGAGUAGGAAGUUGUUUGCUUGUGUUUUCCUGCUGGAAAGACCAGAAUCUUGCAUUGCAGAGGAAGCCUUCCCCCAUCUGCUGGCUAGGCAAGAGGGAGAGAUGCAAAGAACAAUCAAAGAAGAGGACUGUGAACUGAAUUCAGUGUUCACCUCUGAACAGGGAUAAGAAAACCAGCCUGGAAAAUAAUACUCAUUUCAGUAAUGCUACCCACACUGCAUCCAACCUGAGAGUCUGAACAUCAGCAUCCAUGUGUUGACUGGUGGGACCUGCACUUGGGAUGUUGUGCAAACCCCAGACAGAUUGUGACAGAAGACUAGCAUACUUCAGAAACAUUUCUGCUGGUCCAGAUAGAAGUAGAAGCAGCUGGCAGAGACUCCGUGACAGAAAAGAACAGCACGUUAGGCAAUGCAGUGGAAAGGUAAAGGAACAUGGUCUUUCUUAGUAACUUUAAGUCAUAAUAGCAAAACAUAUUUUACAGGCGUGAACACCAAUUUAAUUCACAAGAAAUUCCAAUAAAAUAAGUAGUACCUAUUAAAUC
rnacentral:lncRNA from 7 species